AUCUGAGAGCAUGUGCUGCUGCGGCAGCAGCAGCAGCUGCUGCUGCAGCUGCUGCGGCUGCAGCAGCAACUGCAGCAGUUGCUGCUGCUGCUGCAGCAGCUGCAGCUGCUGCAGCAGUUGCUGCUGCUGCUGCAGCAGCUGCAGCUGCUGCAGCAGCAGCUGCAGCAGCUGCAGCAGCAGCUGCAGCUGCUGCUGCAGCAGUUGAAGCUGCUGCUGCAGCUGCUGCUGCAGCAGCCGAGCUCCAGUUUUUU
rnacentral:sRNA from 1 species